UACAGAGGGGGCAAGCGUUGUUCGGAAUUACUGGGCGUAAAGGGCGCGUAGGCGGCCCGCUAAGUCGAACGUGAAAUCCCCGAGCUCAACUCGGGAACUGCGUCCGAUACUGGCGGGCUUGAAUCCGGGAGAGGGAUGCGGAAUUCCAGGUGUAGCGGUGAAAUGCGUAGAUAUCAGGAGGAACACCGGUGGCGAAGGCGGCUUUCUGGACAGAUACCGACGCUGAGGCACGAAAGCUAGGGGAGCAAACAGG
rnacentral:rRNA from 1 species